GCGUGGAGGAAGAAGGCCUUCGGGUCGUAAACUCCUGUCAGGUGGGAUGAAAAAGUGUCGGUCAAUAGCCGGCUCUCUUGACAGUACCACCAGAGGAAGCCCCGGCUAACUCCGUGCCAGCAGCCGCGGUAAUACGGAGGGGGCGAGCGUUAUUCGGAAUCAUUGGGCGUAAAGGGCGCGUAGGCGGCUCCGCAAGUCAAAGGUGAAAUCCCUCGGCUCAACCGAGGAACUGCCCUUGAAACUGCGAGGCUUGAGGCCGGGAGGGGGUAGCGGAAUUCCCAGUGUAGCGGUGAAAUGCGU
rnacentral:rRNA from 1 species